UGAGAACGGGGAUAUGGCGAAA
rnacentral:tRNA from 1 species